rnacentral:lncRNA from 1 species
GGCACAAACCAAGCACUGUAUCAGCGAGCUAUAUCCCCAUUCCUAAAACAUAUUUUGAAAAGUAAAUUUGUUUUCUUAAGACAAUUUUUACAUAGUACAUAUGUUUCUCAAGCUAUUAUUUAGUAUGUUACACAUACUGUUAACUCUUGGAAUUUUGUUGUGGAACAAAAUAUUGGGCCAUCUGUAGCUGUUUUUUGCUACUUUGUGAGUUCUUUCCCUUAUCCCUCCACUGCAGGUUUCAUUUUCUAUCACUACAUUGGAGGGAAAGGAUAGGAGAGACAGAGACAGAGACAGAGAUUCUUGAAUCUAAUUUAUUUCUUUUUUGUUUCUUCUUAUAGCAUGACUACUAAAACAAACCACAUCCAACCUCUAUCAAUAAGCAACAACUCACUGACUGCCUUUCAAGGCCCUUGAAUUUACAUGCCUUCUGAAAAGUUCCUAGAAUUCCAAAUGUUACAUUAUUGCAGAAACUAUCUGUAGCUGGCAAAACCAUGCCUCUGCUAGAGAAUGAGGCAAGUUUUAGUCAGCUGUUGCAGACACUCUAAAGGAGCGCUACAUCUCCACAAAUGGGCUUAAAAUGAAAAUAUAUUCUUAAAAUAGUUCUGUUUCAAAAGAUUAAUUUCUUAUAAAUUAUUAUUAUUAAUUUUAAUGACUACACUGUAGGUGUCUUCAGACACGUAAGAGGACAAUGGAUCCCAUUACAUAUGGUUGUGAUCCACCAUGUGGUUGCUUCCUAUUGAACUCAGGAUCUCGGGAAGAACGUUUUUAACUGUUCUU